rnacentral:lncRNA from 1 species
UUUCAUUCUAUUUAUGUGUUUUAUACAUUUCUCAAGCGAGUACUUUCCCUCUAUGCAGUGGGAGAACCAAAUGGCAUUCCUUUAUCCCCCUACCCCAUUCUCAACAUCCCAAACCACAUCACAGAAGUCCACCAAACACAGCCAGGUAUGUGAUGCUUUGUUUUUAUUUUAGGUUCUCCUGAAGAUGUUCAGUAUGCAGGUUGUUAACUCUGUCUUUUGCUCAGUGUUUGUGGAACAGGCGAUACGCUCUGCACCCCCUCAGGUGCUGGUAGUGACGCAGCAGGAGGUUCGGCGUCGGUUGGGUGACGGGCCCACUGUAACUACUUGCCCGUUCUGUCAACACCGUAUCACCACUGUUGUGAGCUACAAACCGGGGGCUGCAGCAUGGGGAGUGUGCUGUCUGCUCACUCUGCUCGGGUUCGUCUGUGGAGUUUGCCUUAUCCCAUUUUGUAUUACAGCACUGCACGAUGUCCAUCAUAGCUGUCCACUCUGCAACAAACACAUAGGGAUACACGUUCGCUGAGAAAGACUGAACACGAUAAUAAAAUCCACAGACAGUGAAUUAAUCA